CCCUUAGAGUUUGAUCCUGGCUCAGGACGAACGCUGGCGGCGCGCUUAACACAUGCAAGUCGAGCGAGAACCAGUCCUUCGGGACUGGGGACAGCGGCGAACGGGUGAGUAACACGUGGGUAAUCUGCCCUCGGCACCGGAAUAGCCCGGGGAAACCCGGAUUAAUGCCGGAUGGCCUCGCCGGCCCUCGGGGCGGCGAGAAAAGGUAGCUUCGGCCUCCGGCCGAGGAUGAGCCCGCGGCCGAUUAGCUUGUUGGUGGGGUAACGGCUCACCAAGGCGACGAUCGGUAGCUGGUCUGAGAGGACGAUCAGCCACACUGGGACUGAGACACGGCCCAGACUCCUACGGGAGGCAGCAGUGGGGAAUCUUGCGCAAUGGGCGAAAGCCUGACGCAGCGACGCCGCGUGCGGGAAGAAGGCCUUCGGGUUGUAAACCGCUUUCAGGAGGGAUGAAGCCACUCGGGUUAAUAGCCUAGAGGGUGACGGUACCUCCAGAAGAAGCCCCGGCUAACUACGUGCCAGCAGCCGCGGUAAUACGUAGGGGGCUAGCGUUGUCCGGAUUUAUUGGGCGUAAAGAGCGUGUAGGCGGCCAGGUAGGUCCGGUGUGAAAACUCGAGGCUCAACCUCGAGAUGUCAUCGGAAACCAUCUGGCUAGAGUCCGGAAGAGGAGAGUGGAAUUCCUGGGUGUAGCGGUGAAAUGCGCAGAUAUCAGAAGAACACCAAUGGCGAAAGCAGCUCUCUGGGACGUACUGACGCUGAGACGCGAAAGCGUGGGGAGCGACAGAUAGAUACCCUG
rnacentral:rRNA from 1 species